rnacentral:lncRNA from 1 species
UGGCGGAAGACAUGGAGACCAAAAUCAAGAACUACAAGACCGCCCCUUUUGACAGCCGCUUCCCCAACCAGAACCAGACUAGAAACUGCUGGCAGAACUACCUGGACUUCCACCGCUGUCAGAAGGCACGUUUCCCGGGAAGAUCUGAACUGGCUGCAUCUCCCUUUCCUCUGUCCUCCAUCCUUCUCCCAGGAUGGUGAAGGGGGACCUGGUACCCAGUGAUCCCCACCCCAGGAUCCUAAAUCAUGACUUACCUGCUAAUAAAAACUCAUUGGAAAA